rnacentral:rRNA from 1 species
UACGGAAGGGGCAAGCGUUGUUCGGAAUCAUUGGGCGUAAAGGGCGCGUAGGUGGUUCUGUAUGUCUACCGUGAAAGCAUACAGCUCAACUGUAUUUUGUCGGUAGAAACUGCAGGACUUGAGGCUGGGAGGGGCUGGUGGAAUUCCCUGUGUAGCGGUGAAGUGCGUAGAGAUGGGGGAGAACACUCGUGGCGAAGGCGGCCAGCUAGACCAGUUCUGACACUGAGGCGCGACAGCGUGGGGAGCAAACAGG